AGUGAACGCUGGCAGUAGGCCUAACACAUGCAAGUCGAACGGCAGCACAGUAAGAGCUUGCUCUUACGGGUGGCGAGUGGCGGACGGGUGAGGAAUACAUCGGAAUCUACUUUUUCGUGGGGGAUAACGUAGGGAAACUUACGCUAAUACCGCAUACGACCUACGGGUGAAAGCAGGGGAUCUUCGGACCUUGCGCGAUUGAAUGAGCCGAUGUCGGAUUAGCUAGUUGGCGGGGUAAAGGCCCACCAAGGCGAUGAUCCGUAGCUGGUCUGAGAGGAGGAUCAGCCACACUGGAACUGAGACACGGUCCAGACUCCUACGGGAGGCAGCAGUGGGGAAUAUUGGACAAUGGGCGCAAGCCUGAUCCAGCCAUACCGCGUGGGUGAAGAAGGCCUUCGGGUUGUAAAGCCCUUUUGUUGGGAAAGAACAGCAGCAGGUUAAUACCCCGCUGUUCUGACGGUACCCAAAGAAUAAGCACCGGCUAACUUCGUG
rnacentral:rRNA from 1 species